rnacentral:rRNA from 1 species
GAUGAACGCUGGCGGCGUGCUUAACACAUGCAAGUCGAACGGGAAACCUUUUAAUGAAGCUUCGGCAGAUUUAGCUGGUUUCUAGUGGCGGCCGGGUGUGUAACGCGUGCGUAACCUGCCUUAUACAUGGGGAUAACAGUCAGAAAUGACUGCUAAUACCGCAUAAGCGCACAGGACCGCAUGGUCCGCUGUGAAAAACUCCGGUGGUAUAAGAUGGCCCCGCGUUGGAUUAGCUUGGUGGUGGGGUAACGGCUCACCAAGGCGACGAUCCAUAGCCGGCCUGAGAGGGUGAACAGCCACAUUGGGACUGAGACACGGCCCAGACUCCUACGGGAGGCAGCAGUGGGGAAUAUUGCACAAUGGGCGAAACCCUGAUGCAGCGACGCCGCGUGAAGGAAGAAGUAUCUCGGUAUGUAAACUUCUAUCAGCAGGGAAGAUAGUGACGGUACCUGACUAAGAAGCCCCGGCUAACUACGUG